AUGCUUCAACUGUUCUUCACGGUUGCUUUCUCUGUUGUUCCUUUGACUCUUUAUAUUCCACCAAUCAGAAGCUUGAAUCUCUUUGUAGAAACCAUGGAAUAUGUUAUGAGAGAAUCUACAACACAUAGCAACAGAAUCUAUCCUCGUUUAAGGAUAGCUUGGUCUAGGAUGUUGAAUUGUUUGCUAUGCAACAACACAAGGUAG